GAUAUGCCCACCUCAGGCUCCCAAAGUGCUGGGAUGACAGGCGCGAGCCACUGCACCUGGCCAAAAUAAAGCUUGACCUGAGUUGAUAUGAGGGUGAUGAGACUGAGUAAAAAGCCCAUAGGAUUCCAGCCUGUGUUCAUAAGAAGCAUUUUAAUGGAGAGACUUUUUGUGAUGCGUGUACAGAGGACAUUAUUAGUGAAAUAACAGCAAACUUGCUAUUAAUGAGAUCUGCUCAAAAUCUCUAUGAGGUAGUGAAUGCCCCAUCAUGAAGAUUUUCAUGCAGAAUUGGGAUGACCUCUGUUCUUCAGCCUGCCAG
rnacentral:lncRNA from 1 species